rnacentral:lncRNA from 1 species
UUCCCCCCACGUGAUGUUUGGGGUCACUAGCUACUUGCAGAUACUACCACCCAGUGGUAGUUGACCUUGAGAUCGAGCACCCCCAACCCUUGCCAAGUUGAUCCUGAAAUAGGACAGUCCUUAGUUUCGAGAGAUUGAGCCUUCAAGACAUUGGCACUCAAAUUUUCCUUCUUCUAGCCACCAUAGGUGCAAUAUGAUCUCACCAUCCAUCGAGCUACUAACUCG